CCUACGGGAGGCAGCAGUGAGGAAUAUUGGUCAAUGGGCGCGAGCCUGAACCAGCCAAGUAGCGUGAAGGAUGACUGCCCUACGGGUUGUAAACUGCUUUUAUGAGGGAAUAAAGUGAGUCACGUGUGCCGUUUUGUAUGUACUUUAUGAAUAAGGAUCGGCUAAGUCCGUGCCAGCAGCCGCGGUAAUACGGAGGAUCCGAGCGUUAUCCGGAUUUAUUGGGUUUAAAGGGAGCGUAGAUGGGUUGUUAAGUCAGUUGUGAAAUGUUGCGGCUCAACCGUAAAAUUGCAAUUGAUACUGGCAGCCUUGAGUACAGUUGAGGUAGGCGGAAUUCGUGGUGUAGCGGUGAAAUGCUUAGAUAUCACGAAGAACUCCGAUUGCGAAGGCAGCUUACUAAACUGCCACUGACAUUGAUGCUCGAAGGUGUGGGUAUCAAACAGGAUUAGAUACCCGAGUAGUC
rnacentral:rRNA from 1 species